rnacentral:lncRNA from 10 species
UAUCAGAUGGUUAUUGGCUGGGGCCACUUGCUUCUACUCCGUGAUGUCUCUCAUCUUCUAGCAGGCUAGCCUGGGCUUGUUCAUAUGGCAGCACAGCAGGAUUCCCAAAGUAACAGUGGAAGCAUGCAAAGUCUCUUUAGAUUUAGAAUCAGAACUGAUACCAUAAUGCUUUGGCUGCAAUUUAUUGGCCAGAGAAAUUCAUAAGGCCAGCCCAGAUUUAAGAGGUAGAGAAAAGACCAGCCCAGACUCAAGAGGUGGAGAAAUGGAAUUAAUAUUUUGAUAAGAGAAGCUUUAAAGUCACAUUGCAAAGCAUUGUGGAGAGAGGGAAGGGAUUAAUUGAGACCACUUUCUGCCAAUCAUCUACCAUAGUUAUAAAGGUGUUAAGAGGGCUGGAGGAAUAGAAGGAAGGAGUAUGCUAAGGAUUAAAAAGAAGAAGGAGGUCUCUUGGUAAGGAUGCUGCUGGUCUGGAGCUUUCAUGGGCAGUGCUGGGGCCUCAGAGGGACAUGUGUCAU